rnacentral:rRNA from 1 species
GCUCAGACACUUAAAUGAAUUGACGGGGCCCGCACAAGCGGUGGAGUAUGUGGUUUAAUUCGAUGCAACGCGAAGAACCUUACCUGGUCUUGACAUCCCGGAGACCCUUAGGAAACUAGGGGGUGCUUCCAUCUGGAAGAAUCUGGAGACAGGUGCUGCAUGGCUGUCGUCAGCUCGUGUCGUGAGAUGUUGGGUUAAGUCCCGCAACGAGCGCAACCCUUGCCUUUAGUUGCCAGCAGUUCGGCUGGGCACUCUAAAGGGACUGCCGGUGUUAAACCGGAGGAAGGUGGGGAUGACGUCAAGUCCUCAUGGCCUUUAUGACCAGGGCUACACACGUACUACAAUGGCCGAUACAAAGGGCAGCGACACUGCGAGGUGAAGCCAAUCCCGUAAAAUCGGUCUCAGUCCGGAUUGGAGUCUGCAACUCGACUCCAUGAAGUUGGAAUCGCUAGUAAUCGCGCAUCAGCCAUGGCGCGGUGAAUACGUUCCCGGGCCUU